GGUAAGAGAGAGAGGAGAAAAAGGCUUCCAUGGGAAAAAUAAAUAGGUUUCUUCAGGAAAGACAAAUGGGUUUUUAGGAGAACAAAUGAGA